rnacentral:rRNA from 1 species
UACGGAGGGAGCUAGCGUUGUUCGGAAUUACUGGGCGUAAAGCGCGCGUAGGCGGCUUUGUAAGUUAGAGGUGAAAGCCCGGAGCUCAACUCCGGAACUGCCUUUAAAACUGCAUCGCUUGAAUCCAGGAGAGGUGAGUAGAAUUCCGAGUGUAGAGGUGAAAUUCGUAGAUAUUCGGAAGAACACCAGUGGCGAAGGCGACUCACUGGACAUGUAUUGACGCUGAGGUGCGAAAGCGUGGGGAGCAAACAGG